rnacentral:rRNA from 1 species
GAUGAACGCUAGCUACAGGCUUAACACAUGCAAGUCGAGGGGAAACGGCAUCGAAAGCUUGCUUUUGAUGGGCGUCGACCGGCGCACGGGUGAGUAACGCGUAUCCAACCUGCCCAUCACUUGGGAAUAACCUUGCGAAAGUAAGACUAAUGCCCAAUGACAUCCCACGAAGGCAUCCGAAUGGGAUUAAAGAUUUAUCGGUGAUGGAUGGGGAUGCGUCUGAUUAGCUUGUUGGCGGGGUGACGGCCCACCAAGGCAACGAUCAGUAGGGGUUCUGAGAGGAAGGUACCCCACAUUGGAACUGAGACACGGUCCAAACUCCUACGGGAGGCAGCAGUGAGGAAUAUUGAUCAAUGGGCGAGAGCCUGAACCAGCCAAGUAGCGUGCAGGAGGACGGCCCUAUGGGUUGUAAACUGCUUUUAUAAGGGAAUAAAGUGGGUCACGUGUGACUUUUUGCAUGUACCUAAUGAAUAAGGACCGGCUAAUUCCGUG